rnacentral:rRNA from 1 species
CACGCUGUAAACGAUGUCUGCUAGCCGUUGGGAUCCUUGAGGUCUCGGUGGCGCAGCUAACGCGAUAAGCAGACCGCCUGGGGAGUACGGCCGCAAGGUUAAAACUCAAAUGAAUUGACG